rnacentral:rRNA from 1 species
AGAACGAACGCUGGCGGCAUGCCUAACACAUGCAAGUCGAACGCUUCCGGGGCUUCGGUCGCGGAGGAGUGGCGCACGGGUGAGUAGCGCGUGGGAACCUGCCCUGUUGUGGGGGAUAACCGAGGGAAACUUCGGCUAAUACCGCAUACGCCCCGGGACUUGGUCUUCGGAUUAGGUCUGGGGGGAAAGAUUGAUCGCAGCAGGAGGGGCCCGCGUCGGAUUAGCUGGUUGGUGGGGUAACGGCUCACCAAGGCGAUGAUCCGUAGCUGGUCUGAGAGGAUGAUCAGCCACACUGGGACUGAGACACGGCCCAGACUCCUACGGGAGGCAGCAGUGGGGAAUAUUGGACAAUGGGGGCAACCCUGAUCCAGCAAUGCCGCGUGAGUGAUGAAGGCCUUAGGGUUGUAAAGCUCUUUCGCCCGCGACGAUGAUGACGGUAGCGGGAGAAGAAGCCCGGCUAACUUCGCGCCAGCAGCCGCGGU